rnacentral:tRNA from 1 species
UCCCUGGUAGCUCAGUCAGUAAAGAACCUGCCUGCAGUGCAGGAGACCUGGGUUUGAUCCCUGGAUUGGGAA